rnacentral:lncRNA from 1 species
CGACGGUUGUCAUGGGCCCGAUGAGAGUUCCGGGUCGUGACACAAUAUCUUAUGCACAGAAUUACUUUGCUGAUGGGUGUUAUGUGACAAGUACUUUUAGUACAUGAUCAUUCAUUUAUACAUGCAUAAACCCUCAUUUCAUGAUAAUAAGUGUUUUUGCCUAUAAAUAAAGAUAAUGAGUGCAUUUUUUUCAUCUUAUUC